UACGGAGGGGGCUAGCGUUGUUCGGAAUUACUGGGCGUAAAGCGCACGUAGGCGGCUUUGUAAGUUAGAGGUGAAAGCCCAGGGCUUAACCCUGGAAUUGCCUUUAAGACUGCAUCGCUAGAAUCGUGGAGAGGUGAGUGGAAUUCCGAGUGUAGAGGUGAAAUUCGUAGAUAUUCGGAAAGAAACACCAGUGGCGAAGGCGACUCACUGGACACGUAUUUGACGCUGAGGUGCGAAAAGCGUGGGGGAGC
rnacentral:rRNA from 1 species